UACAGAGGUCCCGAGCGUUGUUCGGAUUCACUGGGCGUAAAGGGUGCGUAGGUGGUGAGGUAAGUCGGAUGUGAAAUCUCCGGGCUCAACCCGGAAAUGGCAUUGGAAACUACCUUGCUGGAGGAUUUGAGGGGGAUUGGAAUACUUGGUGUAGCAGUGAAAUGCGUAGAUAUCAAGUGGAACACCAGUGGCGAAGGCGAAUCCCUGGAAAAUACCUGACACUGAGGCACGAAAGCUAGGGAGCAACAGG
rnacentral:rRNA from 1 species